AUGAAGAACUUGAAAGACGCUAAGACAAAAAUUUAUCCCUCAACUACGAGGGGAGGUAAGGAACUGCCAUCUAGCUCUGCACUAGAUUCUCCUUCUGUUAUGAGUAAGUUUGCGACACCUAAACCUACUACUGCUAUUGAUUCUGAUAUGUCGCAUAUUAUUGAUGAUGCCACUUAUGCUAUGCACGAUACUUAUGAUGAAACUACUUCUAUGCUUGAUACUACUGUGCCACUCGGUGAAUUUCUUGAUGAGCAAAUUGCUAGGUCUAGAGAAAGAGAAAUUAUUGAACCUGAACACGAUGAUGCUAGUGAUGAUGGGCCUAUGCCUUCUAUUACUGAGGGUUAUCUUUUUAGUGCUGAAUCUUUUGAAGCUAUUGUUGCUUGCCAGGAUAGUCUUGAACGUAAGAGGUUGCUAAAUAAGUGGAGUAAAGAAUAUUUUAGAGGUAGGAUGAGACCCGACCCUGCUUUUGCUACUUCACCUAUCUGUGUUUCUGAUUAUGAUUAUUAUGAUAUUUAUGUCGAUGCAGAUAUAAUUAGUUUUGUUGAAUCUGAUCCUUUUUAUGGCUAUGAAUCUAAAACUGUUGUGGCACAUCUUACUAAGUUAAAUGAUAUAGCUGCCCUGUUUACUAAUAAUGAGAGAUCGCUACCUUUAUUUACUUAA
rnacentral:rRNA from 1 species